rnacentral:lncRNA from 1 species
AGGUCCCGCUAUUGGAUAUUGACCGAGGAGUCUCUCGGGUCAUGUCUACAUAGUUCUCGAACCCGCAGGGUCUGCACACUUAAGGUUCGACGUUGUUUUAUGCGUAUUUGAGUUAUAUGGUUGGUUACCGAAUGUUGUUCGGAGUCCCGGAUGAGAUCACGGACGUCACGAGGGUUUCCGGAAUGGUCCGGAAACGAAGAUUGAUAUAUAGGAUGACCUCAUUUGAUUACCGGAAGGUUUUCGGAGUUACCGGAAAUGUACCAGGAAUGACGAAUGGGUUCCGGGAGUUCACCGGGGGGGGGGGCAACCCACCCCGGGGAAGGCCAUAGGCCUUGAGGGUAGCGCACCAGCCCUUAGUGGACUGGCGGGGCAGCCCAAAAGGGCCCUAUGCGCAUUGGAAGAAAAAUCAAAGAGAAGGGAAAAAAAGGAGGAGGUGGGAAGGGAAGGAAGGACUCCCACCCACCAAACCAAGUCCAACUCGGUUUGGGGGGGAGACCUUUCCCCCUUGGCUCGGCCGACCCCCUUGGGGCUCCUUGAGCCCCAAGGCGAGGCCCCCUCUCUCCCACCUAUAUAUACGGAGGUUUUAGGGCUGAUUUGAGACGACUUUUCCACGGCAGCCCGACCACAUACCUCCACGGUUUUUCCUCUAGAUCGCGUUUCUGCGGAGCUCGGGCGGAGCCCUGCUGAGGCGAGAUCAUCACCAACCUCCGGAGCGCCGUCACGCUGCUGGAGAACUCUUCUACCUCUCCGUCUCUCUUGCUGGAUCAAGAAGGCCGAGAUCAUCGUCGAGCUGUACGUGUGCUGAACGCGGAGGUGCCGUCCAUUCGAUACUAGAUCGUGGGACUGAUCGCGGGAUUGUUCGCGGGGCGGAUCGAGGGACGUGAGGAUGUUCCACUACAUCAACCGAGUUCACUAACGCUUCUGCUGUACGGUCUACAAGGGUACGUAAAUCACUCAUCCCCUCUCGUAGAUGGACAUCACCAUGAUAGGUCUUCGUGCGCGUAGGAAAAUUUUUGUUUCCCAUGCGACGUUCCCCAACAGUGGCAUCAUGAGCUAGGUUCAUGCGUAGAUGUCUUCUCGAGUAGAACACAAAAGUUUUUGUGGACGGUGAUGUGCGCUUUUCUGCCCUCCUUAGUCUUUUCUUGAUUCUGCGGUAUUGUUGGAUUGAAGCGGCUUGGACCGACAUUACUCGUACGCUUACGAGAGACUGGUUUCAUCGCUACGAGUAACCCCAUUGCUCAAAGAUGACUGGCAAGUGUCGGUUUCUCCAACUUUAGUUGAAUCGGAUUUGACCGAGGAGGUCCUUGGAUGAGGUUAAAUAGCAACUCAUGUAUCUCCGUUGUGGUGUUUGCGUAAGUAAGAUGCAAUCCUACUAGAUACCCAUGGUCACCACGUAAAACAUGCAACAACAAAAUUAGAGGACGUCUAACUUGUUUUUGCAAGGUAUGCUUGUGAUGUGAUAUGGCCAACGAUGUGAUGUGAUAUAUUGGAUGUAUGAGAUGAUCAUGUUGUAAUAGAUAAUAUCGACUUGCACGUCGAUGGUACGGCAACCGGCAGGAGCCAUAGGGUUGUCUUUAUACUAAUGUUUGUGCUUGCAGAUGCGUUUACUAUUUUGCUAGGAUGUAGCUUUAGUAGUAAUAGCAUGAGUAGCAUGACAACCUCGAUGGCAACACGUUGAUGGAGAUCAUGGUGUGGCGCCGGUGACAAGAAGAUCGUGCCGGUGCUUUUGGUGAUGGAGAUCAAGAAGCACUUGAUGAUGGCCAUAUCAUGUCACUUAUGAAUUGCAUGUGAUGUUAAUCCUUUUAUGCACCUUAUUUUGCUUAGAACGACGGUAGCAUUAUGAGGUGAUCUCUCACUAAAAUUUCAAGACGAAAUUGUGUUCUCCCCGACUGUGCACCGUUGCUACAGUUCGUCAUUUCGAGACACCACGUGAUGAUCGGGUGUGAUAGACUCAACGUUCACAUACAACGGGUGCAAAACAGUUGCGCACGCGGAACACUCGGGUUAAGCUUGACGAGCCUAGCAUGUGCAGACAUGGCCUCGGAACACAUGAGACCGAAAGGUCGAUCAUGAAUCAUAUAGAUGAUAUGAUUAGCAUAGGGAUGCUUACCACUGAAACUAUACUCAACUCACGUGAUGAUUGGACUUGAGCUAGUGUAAGUGGAUCAUGAACCACUCAAAUGACUAGAGAGAUGUACUUUUUGAGUGGGAGUUUAGCGAAUAAUUUGAUUAAGUUGAACUCUAAUUAUUUUGAACAUAGUCUAAGUCCACUUUGAAUAUAUUUGUGUUGUAGAUCAUGGCUCACGCGACAGUCACCCUGAAUUUUAAUACGUUCCUAGAGAAAGCUAAGUUGAAAGAUGAUGGAAGCAACUUUGUAGACUGGGCUCGUAAUCUUAAGCUAAUCUUACAAGUUGGGAAAAAGGAUUAUGUCCUUAAUGCUACGCUAGGAGAUGAACCACCCGCUACGGCUGAUCAGGAUGUUAAGAACGCUUGGUUAGCACGUAAGGAGGACUACUCAGUAGUUCAAUGUGCAGUCUUGUAUGGCUUAGUGCCGGAACUUCAACGUCGCUUUGAGCGUCAUGGAGCAUUUGAGAUGUUCCAGGAGUUGAAGUUUAUCUUUCAGAAGAACGCCCGGAUCGAGAGGUAUGAGACCUCCGAUAAAUUCUAUGCUUGCAAGAUGGAGAAAAACUCGUCUGUCAGUGAACAUGUGCUCAAAAUAUCUGGGUACUCAAACCGUCUAGCUGAGCUGGGGAUUGAACUCCCGCAAGAGGCUAUCACUGACAGAAUCCUUCAAUCAAUGCCGCCAAGCUACAAAGGCUUUGUGUUGAACUACAACAUGCAAGGGAUGAACAAGUCUCCCGGCGAGUUGUUUGCGAUGCUGAAAGUCGGAGAGUCUGAACUCCGUAAAGAGCAUCAAGUGUUGAUGGUGAAUAAGACCACUAGUUUCAAGAUAAACGGCAAAGGCAAGAAGGGUAAUUCAAAGAAGAGCGGCAAGCCUGUUGUCAAUCCGACGAAGAAACCCAAAGCUGGACCUAAGCCUGAAACAGAGUGUUACUAUUGCAAGGGUAUGGGUCACUGGAAGCGCAAUUGCCCCAAGUAUCUGGCAGAUAAGAAGGCGGCCAAACAAAAAUCAGGUAUAUUUGAUAUACAUGUUAUUGAUGUGUACUUAACCGGCUCUCGUAGUAGUGCCUGGGUAUUCGAUACCGGUUCUGUUGCUCAUAUUUGCAACUCGAAACAGGAACUGCGGAAUAGACGAAGGCUGGCGAAAGAUGAAGUGACGAUGCGCAUAGGAAAUGUUUCCAAGGUUGAUGCAAUCGCCGUCGGCACAGUUUCACUUCAGUUACCAUCAGGAUUAGUUAUGAACUUAAAUCAUUGUUAUUUAGUGCCUGCGUUGAGCAUGAAGAUUAUAUCUGGAUCUUGUUUAUUGCGAGACGGUUACUCUUUUAAGUCAGAUAAUAAUGGUUGUUCUAUUUCUAUGAGUAACAUCUUUUAUGGUCAUGCACCUAAUGUGAGAGGAUUGUUCAUAUUGAAUCUUGAUAGCGAUACACAUAUACAUAACAUUGAGACCAAAAGAGUUAGAGUUAACAAUGAUAGCGCCAUAUUUUUGUAGCACUGCCGCUUAGGUCAUAUUGGUGUAAAGCGCAUGAAGAAACUCCAUGCCGAUGGAAUUUUGGAGUCACUUGACUUUGAUUCACUUGACACGUGCGAACCAUGCCUCAUGGGCAAGAUGACUAAAACUCCGUUCUCCGGAACAAUGGAGCGUGCAAGUGACUUGUUGGAGAUCAUACAUACCGAUGUGUGUGGUCCGAUGAGCAUAGAGGCACGCGGCGGAUAUCGUUAUUUUCUCACCUUCACUGACGAUUUGAGUAGAUAUGGUUAUGUCUACUUAAUGAAGCACAAGUCUGAAACAUUUGAAAAGUUCAAGCAAUUUCAGAGUGAAGUUGAAAAUCAUCGUAACAAGAAGAUUGAGUUCCUACGGUCUGAUCGUGGGGGUGAAUAUCUGAGUUUCGAGUUUGGUGCUCACUUAAGACAAUGUGGAAUUGUUUCACGGUUAACACCGCCUGGAACACCACAGCGUAAUGGUGUGUCCGAACUUCGUAAUCGUACUUUAUUAGAGAUGGUGCGAUCUAUGAUGUCUCUUACCGAUUUGCCGUUAUCGUUUUGGGGUUAUGCAUUAGAAACAGCUGCAUUCACUUUAAAUAAGGCACCAUCAAAAUCCGUUGAGACGACACCAUACGAACUGUGGUAUGGCAAAAGGCCAAAGUUGUCGUUUCUUAAAGUUUGGGGAUGUGAUGCUUAUGUCAAAAAGCUUCAGCCUGAAAAGCUGGAACCCAAAGCGGAAAAGUGUGUCUUCAUAGGUUACCCAAAAGAGACAGUUGGGUACAGCUUCUAUCUCAAAUCCGAGGGCAAAGUGUUUGUUGCUAAAAACGGAGCUUUUCUCGAGAAGGAGUUUCUCUCGAGAGAAUUGAGUGGGAGGAAGAUAGAACUUGACGAGGUUGUCGAACCUCUAAUCCCUCUGGAUGGCGGCGCAGGGCAAGGGGAAACCUCUGUCGUUGCGACGCCGGUUGAGGAGGAAGUUAAUGAUGAUGAUCAUGAAACUCCGGUUCAAGUUUCUGUCGAACCACGCAGGUCGACGAGACCACGUGCUGCUCCAGAGUGGUACGGUAAUCCCGUCUUGUCAAUCAUGUUGUUGGACAACAAUGAACCUGCAAAUUAUGAAGAAGCAAUGGUGGGCCCAGAUUCCAACAAAUGGCUAGAAGCCAUGAAGUCCGAGAUAGGAUCCAUGUAUGAAAACAAAGUGUGGACUUUGGAGGUACUGCCUGAAGGCCGCAAGGCUAUUCAAAACAAAUGGAUCUUUAAGAGGAAGACGGGCGCUGACGGCAAUGUGACCAUUUAUAAAGCUCGACUUGUGGCAAAGGGUUUUUCACAAGUUCAAGGAGUUGACUACGAUGAGACAUUCUCACCCGUAGCGAUGCUUAAGUCCGUCAGAAUCAUGUUAGCAAUAGCUGCAUUUUUAGAUUAUGAAAUCUGGCAGAUGGAUGUCAAAAUGGCGUUCCUUAACGGUUUCCUUAAGGAAGAAUUGUAUAUGAUGCAACCCGAAGGUUUUGUCGAUCCUAAGAAUGCUAACAAGGUGUGCAAGCUCCAGCGAUCCAUUUAUGGACUGGUGCAAGCAUCUCGGAGUUGGAACAAACGCUUUGAUGAGGUGAUCAAAGCAUUUGGGUUUAUACAAGUGGUUGGAGAAUCUUGUAUUUACAAGAAAGUGAGUGGGAGCUCUGUGGCGUUUCUAAUAUUAUAUGUUGAUGACAUAUUGCUGAUUGGAAACAACGUAGAGUUUUUUUUGGAGAGCAUAAAUGAUUACUUGAAUAAAAGUUUCUCUAUGAAGGACCUAGGAGAAGUUGCUUGCAUUCUAGGCAUUAAGAUCUAUAGGGAUAGAUCAAAACGCCUGAUAGGACUUUCACAAAGCACAUACCUUGAUAAAGUUUUGAAGAGGUUCAAAAUGGAACAGUCCAAGAAGGGGUUCUUGCCAGUUUUACAAGGUACGCGAUUGAGUAAGACUCAGUGCCCAGCAACUGAUGAAGAUAGAGAGCAUAUGCGCUCCGUCCCCUAUGCUUCAGCCACAGGUUUAUCAUGUAUGCAAUGCUGUGCACUAGACCGGACGUUAGCCUGGCCAUAAGUAUGGCAGGUAGGUUCCAGAGUAAUCCAGGAGUGGAUCACUGGACGGCGGUCAAGAAUAUCCUGAAGUACCUGAAAAGGACUAAGGAGAUGUUUCUCGUAUAUGGAGGUGACGAAGAGCUCGCCGUAAAAGGUUACGUCGAUGCAAGCUUUGACACAGAUCCGGACGACUCUAAGUCGCAAACCGGAUACGUAUUUAUUCUUAAUGGGGGUGCGGUAAGCUGGUGCAGUUCCAAGCAGAGCGUCGUAGCAGAUUCUACAUGUGAAGCGGAGUACAUGGCUGCCUCGGAGGCGGCUAAGGAGGGUGUCUGGAUGAAGCAGUUCAUGACGGAUCUUGGAGUGGUGCCAAGCGCACUAAAUCCAAUAACCUUGUUCUGUGACAACACGGGUGCCAUUGCCUUAGCAAAGGAACCACGAUUUCACAAGAAGUCCAGACACAUCAAACGACGCUUCAACCUCAUCCGCGACUACGUCGAAGGGGAGGACAUGAAUAUAUGCAAAGUGCACACGGAUCUGAAUGUAGCAGACCCGCUGACUAAACCUCUUCCACGGCCAAAGCAUGAUCAACACCAGAACUGUAUGGGUGUUAGAUUUAUUACAAUGUAAUUCACAUGAUGAUGUGAGGGCUAGAUUAUUGACUCUAGUGCAAGUGGGAGACUGUUGGAAUUAUGCCCUAGAGGCAAUAAUACAUAUAGUUAUUAUUAUAAUUCCUGUAUCAAGAUAAUCGUUUAUUAUCCAUGCUAUAAUUGUAUUGAAUGAAGACUCAUUUACAUGUGUGGAUACAUAGACAAAACACUGUCCCUAGCAAGCCUCUAGUUGGCUAGCCAGUUGAUCAAAGAUAGUCACUGUCUUCUGAUUAUGAACAAGGUGUUGUUGCUUGAUAACUGGAUCACGUCAUUAGGAGAAUCACGUGAUGGACUAGACCCAAACUAAUAGACGUAGCAUGUUGAUCGUGUCAUUUUGUUGCUACUGUUUUCUGCGUGUCAAGUAUUUGUUCCUAUGACCAUGAGAUCAUAUAACUCACUGACACCGGAGGAUUACUUUGUGUGUAUCAAACGUCGCAACGUAACUGGGUGACUAUAAAGAUGCUCUACAGGUAUCUCCGAAGGUGUUAGUUGAGUUAGUAUGGAUCAAGACUGGGAUUUGUCACUCCGUGUGACGGAAAGGUAUCUCGGGGCCCACUCGGUAAUACAACAUCACACACAAGCCUUGCAAGCAAUGUAACUUAGUGUAAGUUGCGGGAUCUUGUAUUACGGAACGAGUAAAGAGACUUGCCUGUAAACGAGAUUGAAAUAGGUAUGCGGAUACUGACGAUCGAAUCUCGGGCGAUUAACAUACCGAAGGACAAAGGGAAUGACAUACGGGAUUAUAUGAAUCCUUGGCACUGAGGUUCAAACGAUAAGAUCUUCGUAGAAUAUGUAGGAUCCAAUAUGGGCAUCCAGGUCCCGCUAUUGGAUAUUGACCGAGGAGUCUCUCGGGUCAUGUCUACAUAGUUCUCGAACCCGCAGGGUCUGCACACUUAAGGUUCGACGUUGUUUUAUGCGUAUUUGAGUUAUAUGGUUGGUUACUGAAUGUUGUUCGGAGUCCAGGAUGAGAUCACGGACGUCACGAGGGUUUCCGGAAUGGUCCAGAAACGAAGAUUGAUAUAUAGGAUGACCUCAUUUGAUUACCGGAAGGUUUUCGGAGUUACCGGGAAUGUACCGGGAAUGACG